UUAUUUCUUGAAUGCAAUUUGGCUAAAUUUUUAUUAGAUUAAGGAACAAAGUGUUCCAGCCUCCCAAGUUUACAAGUAAAUGAGUAUAGCCGAACAGAACUGACACCCCGGUCCAAACGACCAUACAGGGCUAGGUGGCACACACAAACUCACAACACAACAGAAACCAGGAAUACGUCUCACACCCAGGACAUUCAACAGAAAAGAUAACAAAGAUCCCUAGUUCUGUAAACUCUUCUGUUGCUUCCGGCCCCAACUCCCAAAGACUUGCAGCAGCAGCAUAUGUUUGGAGUAUAAUUCCUUGCGUGUUUGGAAUUGACUCUUGAGCAUUUGUGGAUAUGUUAACAGAGAUUCAUCUCUAAGGUAAACUGUUCCACACAGUUGGAGUGGCAGCAGUUUGUUGUGCUCUGUGGAGAGCCAGAAACAACAUAUGCUUUGAAAACAAAACAAGUAAAUAUACCUACUGCGAUUGUGUGCUUGUGCUUGUUUGUUCGUUUGAAAACAAAACGAGUAAAUAUACCUAUUGAGAUUGUGUGCUUGUUUGUUCGUUUAUUUCUUACUAGGCAGGUUUACAGAGCAAGAAGA
rnacentral:lncRNA from 1 species